UGGUGAGCAGCGUGGUGUUG
rnacentral:misc_RNA from 1 species